rnacentral:rRNA from 1 species
AUGAACGCUGGCGGCGUGCUUAACCCCUGCAAGUCGAACGAAGCAUUUGCGACAGAUUUUUUCGGAAUGAAGUUGCUUAUGACUGAGUGGCGGACGGGUGAGUAACGCGUGGGUAACCUGCCUUGUACUGGGGGAUAGCAGCUGGAAACGGCUGGUAAUACCGCAUAAGCGCACAAUGUUGCAUGACAUGGUGUGAAAAACUCCGGUGGUAUAAGAUGGACCCGCGUCUGAUUAGCUAGUUGGUGAGAUAACAGCCCACCAAGGCGACGAUCAGUAGCCGACCUGAGAGGGUGACCGGCCACAUUGGGACUGAGACACGGCCCAGACUCCUACGGGAGGCAGCAGUGGGGAAUAUUGCACAAUGGAGGAAACUCUGAUGCAGCGACGCCGCGUGAGUGAAGAAGUAAUUCGUUAUGUAAAGCUCUAUCAGCAGGGAAGAUAGUGACGGUACCUGACGAAGAAGCUCCGGCUAAAUACGUG